AAAAUAUAAAUAGAUAUCAUGAUAAGAGAACAUAAUAGACAUUAACAAUCUGAUAGCAAUGGAAAGACAACCAUAACGGCAUGAACUAAAUCAACCAGUUCGCACAACUAGUUAGAAACAACAUCCUUUGACAAGAAGUUUCUAAUUAAAUCAUGACUACGCCUAAGCAGCGUUAUUAUGAGAGUGAAGGUGGAUGUGCUGCUACUUCCCACUUCCCUUGAUGAGCAACAAGCACCUGCAUUGAGUAAUGCAAGAGUGAGAUGAAACAUCUCAGCAAGCGAAUUGUUUUGACAAGAUAUUUAAACCACAAAUUGAAUUAAUCAACAUUUUAAAAGAACCACAAUUAAGAUCAGAAAUUCUUGUAGAUAUAGAACUCAGUAGUCUCAAUAUAACCAAUACCAUCUCAUUUCCUUAAACAACCACAAUAGUUUGUAUAACACUUCCCUGCGUCAACAAUACCUGCAAAUAUUACUUCAAUGUAUGCAUAGGAACACAAAGUGUAGGUACUCUGUCUUGAUACCUCUGAGGGUAUAAAACCACAUCAUAUGCAAAUAUCACUUCAAUGAAUGCAUAUGAAUGCAAUGCAUAUGUCCUCUGCCUUCAUACCUCUAAGGGUAUGAAGCCGCAUCGUACCCCUCCUCGGGCAACGUACGAUGCUAAGUUAUACCGGUACGGUCGGACCAUAGGUCACGACCAACUUCAGAUGCAAGUGAAUCAUGCAAUGUAUAUGGCAUGUUGCAUUUAUCAAUAUACUUCACUUCCUUCACAUACAAUACAACCUCAAAUAAUACUUCAUUUACCUUCAGAUACAAUACCAACCUCAAAUAAUACUUCAUUUACCUUCAGGGGUGUGAAUUAAUCUCAUGAGUCAUACUCGAAUCAUAAUCAUCAUCAAUAUAUGAUUGAGCAUCAGUAUAAUGCAAGCAAGUAAAGCAUCACCAUAGAGUCCAAUUAUGAAAGAAUCCAAUACUUCUGAAUAUUAGAGUGUAGGCAAUAGAAAUAACAGGUCAGAACGGAAGCAACCACCGCUACAUUCACUUGCCUUCAUCGAAGAAGAAAAAUGUACUAGGCAUGAUCUGGAGUGUAGCCACCUGCUAGCGGGCAUAAAACUUAGUACAAAUAUUUCACAAACAUUUGCCAACAAUCAACAAAUCGAUCCUACACCUGAAACCAAGACCUGGUGGAAAACCUCCCACUCUGAACCACAUGCCAUACAACAGCAAUGUUGUUUGUUAAUUUUGUAUCUUUAAAAUUAUAACAGUGGUGAUAUCAAACAAAUACUCCAUGAGUAUCUACACAAAAUAUUCUACAACUUCGAUAUUCGAUGGAUAAUUAAAUUCUGCCAUCUAUAAGUUCUAAAACAUCUAACAAGAUAACUGACUGAAUCUGUUUUAGACAGCAGCAUAGUUAAGUUUCAAAAUUCGAUAUCUCACAAACUACUCAACUAAAAAUCAUGAAAUUCUGCUGAAAGUAAGAACUUUUAUCCCUCUACAAAAGUCUCCAUAGAUGGGAGAGCUAAUUCGGCCAUUUACUUGAUGAAACCUACCAGUGAACAGACCCGCUCAUUUCUUUCAGGCUAACAGAAACAGCCACAAUAAAACAAACAUAACUGGAGUUUCAUAAUUCAUAUGAAUGCACUCUUUAACAAUCUGGAAAGAUUAUGAAAUUAUCUACAUCUUUUCUUACAAACCCAAGGUUUAAUUCUGUUGAUAAAAUUGCCUAAAUCUUAAGAGAACAGAUUCUGCACAGAAUUAAGAGACUGAAAAACUGCUAUAAUCAAACUGCAAUAACUCUCUGAUCGGAUGUCCGAUUGAGGUGUUCUUCGCGGCCACGGAAAGAUCUACAAAUUAUCUACGACUUAUAUAUAGACUUUUUAUUUUUUUGAGGCCUCUAAGACCACGGAAAACUGGGAUUAACAGAAACUGUCGAAUCUGUCAUUCUGCAGAAAACUAAAUUCGAGAUCAAAACCUAACCCCACAUCUAAUCCAACCUCUAAUCCUUUAAUUCCCAUGAUCCACAACCUCUAAAAGCACAUAAUUACAGGGAGGAACAAGGAUCUCAUCCAUACCUAGGGUUUCCCCAAGAAAUUCUGCAAGAAGAGAUGGGGAAGAACAUCUCCUUGAUCCUCUCUUCCCCUUCAACUAAAUGUGCUCCUCCUCUUCUCGAUCCUUGCUGCGCAGGGGGAGAUCUAGAGGGAGGAGGAAGCCGUGGAGAGGGGUUGCCAUGGGAGGAGAGGACAACCAGCCCAAGGGAAAAGGAGAGAGGGGCGGCCAAGUGUGGG
rnacentral:lncRNA from 1 species